GAAUUCACUAGUGAUUCAGGCCUAACACAUGCAAGUCGAACGGUUAACGCGCCUUCGGGCGCUUAUAAAGUGGCGAACGGGUGAGUAACACGUGACCAACCUGCCCCCCGCACGGGGACAGCCCCGGGAAACCGGGGUUAAUACCCGACGUUCCCCGCAGCGCGCAUGCGCCGCGGGGGGAAGCCCAGGCGGCGGGGGAUGGGGUCGCGGCCCAUCAGGUAGACGGCCGGGUAGAGGCCGGCCGUGCCGACGACGGGUAGCCGGGUUGAGAGACCGACCGGCCACAUUGGGACUGAGAUACGGCCCAGACUCCUACGGGAGGCAGCAGUGGGGAAUAUUUCGCAGGGGGGGCAACCCUGACGCAGCAACGCCGCGUCCC
rnacentral:rRNA from 1 species